CAGCAGUGAGGCUUCUCACCAGUCGGGCUCGGGCUAUACUCCAGGACUCAGUAGAUCCUGGGUAUAACCCGUGCCCGACUGUGCACCUACCCAG
rnacentral:pre_miRNA from 1 species